rnacentral:tRNA from 1 species
UCCCUAAUGGCUCAGUGGUAAAGAAUCUGCCUGCAAUGCAGGAGACCAGGGUUCGUUCCCUGGGUCGGGAA